UUUGGUUAAGUUAGAAAGGGCGCACGGUGGAUGCCUUGACACUAGGAGUCGAUGAAGGACGGGACUAACGCCGAUAUGCUUCGGGGAGCUGUAAGUAAGCUUUGAUCCGAAGAUUUCCGAAUGGGGAAACCCACCAUACGUAAUGGUAUGGUAUCCUUAUCUGAAUACAUAGGGUAAGGAAGACAGACCCAGGGAACUGAAACAUCUAAGUACCUGGAGGAAGAGAAAGCAAAUGCGAUUUCCUGAGUAGCGGCGAGCGAAACGGAACAUAGCCCAAACCAAGAGGCUUGCCUCUUGGGGUUGUAGGACAUUCUAUACGGAGUUACAAAGGAACGAGGUAGACGAAGCGACCUGGAAAGGUCCGUCGUAGAGGGUAACAACCCCGUAGUCGAAACUUCGUUCUCUCUUGAAUGUAUCCUGAGUACGGCGGAACACGUGAAAUUCCGUCGGAAUCUGGGAGGACCAUCUCCCAAGGCUAAAUACUCCCUAGUGAUCGAUAGUGAACCAGUACCGUGAGGGAAAGGUGAAAAGCACCCCGGAAGGGGAGUGAAAGAGAUCCUGAAACCGUGUGCCUACAAAUAGUCAGAGCCCGUUAACGGGUGAUGGCGUGCCUUUUGUAGAAUGAACCGGCGAGUUACGAUCCCGUGCGAGGUUAAGCUGAAGAGGCGGAGCCGCAGCGAAAGCGAGUCUGAAUAGGGCGUUUAGUACGUGGUCGUAGACCCGAAACCAGGUGAUCUACCCAUGUCCAGGGUGAAGUUCAGGUAACACUGAAUGGAGGCCCGAACCCACGCACGUUGAAAAGUGCGGGGAUGAGGUGUGGGUAGCGGAGAAAUUCCAAUCGAACCUGGAGAUAGCUGGUUCUCCCCGAAAUAGCUUUAGGGCUAGCCUUAAGUGUAAGAGUCUUGGAGGUAGAGCACUGAUUGGACUAGGGGUCCUCAUCGGAUUACCGAAUUCAGUCAAACUCCGAAUGCCAAUGACUUAUCCUUAGGAGUCAGACUGCGAGUGAUAAGAUCCGUAGUCAAAAGGGAAACAGCCCAGACCGCCAGCUAAGGUCCCAAAGUGUGUAUUAAGUGGAAAAGGAUGUGGAGUUGCUUAGACAACUAGGAUGUUGGCUUAGAAGCAGCCACCAUUUAAAGAGUGCGUAAUAGCUCACUAGUCGAGUGACUCUGCGCCGAAAAUGUACCGGGGCUAAAUACACCACCGAAGCUGCGGAUUGAUACCAAUGGUAUCAGUGGUAGGGGAGCGUUCUAAGGACAGUGAAGUCAGACCGGAAGGACUGGUGGAGUGCUUAGAAGUGAGAAUGCCGGUAUGAGUAGCGAAAGACGGGUGAGAAUCCCGUCCACCGAAUGCCUAAGGUUUCCUGAGGAAGGCUCGUCCGCUCAGGGUUAGUCAGGACCUAAGCCGAGGCCGACAGGCGUAGGCGAUGGACAACAGGUUGAUAUUCCUGUACCACCUCUUUAUCGUUUGAGCAAUGGAGGGACGCAGAAGGAUAGAAGAAGCGUGCGAUUGGUUGUGCACGUCCAAGCAGUUAGGCUGAUAAGUAGGCAAAUCCGCUUAUCGUGAAGGCUGAGCUGUGAUGGGGAAGCUCCUUAUGGAGCGAAGUCUUUGAUUCCCCGCUGCCAAGAAAAGCUUCUAGCGAGAUAAAAGGUGCCUGUACCGCAAACCGACACAGGCAGGCGAGGAGAGAAUCCUAAGGUGUGCGAGAGAACUCUGGUUAAGGAACUCGGCAAAAUGACCCCGUAACUUCGGGAGAAGGGGUGCUUUCUUAACGGAAAGCCGCAGUGAAUAGGCCCAAGCGACUGUUUAGCAAAAACACAGCUCUCUGCGAAGCCGUAAGGCGAAGUAUAGGGGGUGACACCUGCCCGGUGCUGGAAGGUUAAGGAGAGGGGUUAGCGUAAGCGAAGCUCUGAACUGAAGCCCCAGUAAACGGCGGCCGUAACUAUAACGGUCCUAAGGUAGCGAAAUUCCUUGUCGGGUAAGUUCCGACCCGCACGAAAGGUGUAACGAUUUGGGCACUGUCUCAACCAGAGACUCGGUGAAAUUAUAGUACCUGUGAAGAUGCAGGUUACCCGCGACAGGACGGAAAGACCCCGUGGAGCUUUACUGUAGCCUGAUAUUGAAUUUUGGUACAGUUUGUACAGGAUAGGCGGGAGCCAUUGAAACCGGAGCGCUAGCUUCGGUGGAGGCGCUGGUGGGAUACCGCCCUGACUGUAUUGAAAUUCUAACCUACGGGUCUUAUCGACCCGGGAGACAGUGUCAGGUGGGCAGUUUGACUGGGGCGGUCGCCUCCUAAAGUGUAACGGAGGCGCCCAAAGGUUCCCUCAGAAUGGUUGGAAAUCAUUCGUAGAGUGCAAAGGCAUAAGGGAGCUUGACUGCGAGACCUACAAGUCGAGCAGGGACGAAAGUCGGGCUUAGUGAUCCGGUGGUUCCGCAUGGAAGGGCCAUCGCUCAACGGAUAAAAGCUACCCCGGGGAUAACAGGCUUAUCUCCCCCAAGAGUCCACAUCGACGGGGAGGUUUGGCACCUCGAUGUCGGCUCAUCGCAUCCUGGGGCUGUAGUCGGUCCCAAGGGUUGGGCUGUUCGCCCAUUAAAGCGGUACGCGAGCUGGGUUCAGAACGUCGUGAGACAGUUCGGUCCCUAUCCGUCGUGGGCGUAGGAAAUUUGAGAGGAGCUGUCCUUAGUACGAGAGGACCGGGAUGGACGCACCGCUGGUGUACCAGUUGUUCUGCCAAGGGCAUAGCUGGGUAGCUAUGUGCGGAAGGGAUAAGUGCUGAAAGCAUCUAAGCAUGAAGCCCCCCUCAAGAUGAGAUUUCCCAUAGCGUAAGCUAGUAAGAUCCCUGAAAGAUGAUCAGGUUGAUAGGUUCGAGGUGGAAGCAUGGUGACAUGUGGAGCUGACGAAUACUAAUAGAUCGAGGACUUAACCAUAUAA
rnacentral:rRNA from 1 species